rnacentral:lncRNA from 1 species
UGCUGAAGAUGAGUGUGUAAAUAUAUUCUGAACCUUGUAGCCCACUGUGGUUUCUCUAAUAGAAGCCGGAGAGGAAAAGCCUCUCUUUUUCAAAAAUAAUAAUAAUUCUGUAGAUAAUGACAUCGAGCAGUUGAGCUUACAUAUAGCCUUAAAUGUCUAACUUGGUGGAGUUGCACUCUAUAUUGACUGACAAUCUAACACUGAGCCACUGAUGUCUUCGGAUGAAGCCUGGGGCCAAUACUAAACAACAACAAUUGGUUUUGGCUGGCCUGGAGCCUUGAAGAUUAUCUUUCUCUACCCUUAGUUUGAAGCCUGUAUCGUAGUUUAGUUUUUUUUUUCUAGUUGUGAGACUUUCCAUAUUGGAGAACUAUCUACUGCAAGGAAUGUUAGAAUGCCACUGUGAUUUCAUUUCAUGAAAUGGAACCAUCAGGAUGGAAACCCUUAUCUUUCUAAAGAAAAUGUCUAACUUCGUGGAAAUAUGUUCACUAAUUCAUUUUUGUUCUUGUAGCUCGUCCUGAUUACAUCGAUACAACGGGAAUACGGGAUGGUUCUUGUUAGCCCAUGGUACCUUUCUCUUGAGCAUAAUAAGGGACUAAAUAACAUACUCCCUCCGGGUCGGAAGGAGUACCAAAUUUUUGUGAUGCAG